rnacentral:rRNA from 1 species
UACGUAGGGGGCAAGCGUUGUCCGGAUUUAUUGGGCGUAAAGAGCGUGUAGGCGGCCAUACAGGUCAGCUGUGAAAACUCGAGGCUCAACCUCGAGACGUCGGUUGAAACCGUAUGGCUAGAGUCCGGAAGAGGAGAGUGGAAUUCCCGGUGUAGCGGUGAAAUGCGCAGAUAUCGGGAAGAACACCUAUGGCGAAGGCGAUCAUCUGGGGAUGUUCUGACACUGAGGAGCGAAAGCUAGGGGAGCAAACGGG